rnacentral:lncRNA from 1 species
CCUGUGUGCUGUGAUCAGACAGUUCCAUCCUGGGAGGAAAAAAGAAUAUAAAGAAGAAAGGAAAAAAAGGAGUCUGAAAGUUUUCUUCAGAGGCUUCAUCAUUCUAAAACUUAUAGGAGUGCUUUCCUAAAAUUAUGGGAAUAUGAGGACAAGAAAGAAGAGAUGAAAAAGUGGAGGCCUAAAAAGGUCAAGCUACUCAACCCAAGGACACACAGCUCCUGGAAGACUGAGCAAGAUUCUGACCCUAGGGCUGAGGCCUCCAGCCACUGUGAGCUCCCC